UCCGAGCCGGUAGUCGCGCGGUUCAAUCCCUGGUGCGGGUGCUAGUGCACCGGCUCCGCACUAUCUAUAGGUUAUGAA
rnacentral:misc_RNA from 1 species